GAUACAAGCCACCUUAUCGCUCCUGACAUUAAUCGUCAGGAGAGGAAAGUCCGGGCACCAUAGGGAAGCAUAGCGGUUAACGGCCGUCACACUGACUAAAACGUCAGCGUAGGACAAGUGCAACAGAAAGAAUGUACAGGUAAUGCUGUAGUGAAAUCAGGUAAACUCUAUGCGGUGAAAUGCCACGUACACUCGCUUUUGAGGGUUCCCGCCCGAUGUGGGAGGGUAGGCAGCUAGAUCGUGUCGGUAACGGCAGGGCCAGAUAAAUGAUAAGGGUCAUGACGAUUUUGUCAUGAUACAGAACCCGGCUUAUCGGCUUGUAUCUUUU
rnacentral:RNase_P_RNA from 1 species